UAUGUUCAUUGAUUUUCCUUUCUUCUUUACCCGCACCCGAGGACAUGCUCAUUGAUCUCAGAGAAGGGGGAAGGCAGGGAGAGAGAAGGAGAAACACGUGUGUGGGAGAGGCUGCCUUCGCACGCACCCCGACCGGGACCGAACCUGCAGCCCAGGCGUGUGCCCUGACCAGGAAUCAAACCGGCUGUCUUUCCGUUUAUGGGACGAUGCUCCAACCAACAGAGCCACACUGACCAGGACCAUUUAUUGAUUUUUCAGAGGGAGAGAGAGAGAGAGAGAGACAUCAAUGUGAGAGAGAAACGUUGAUUGAUUGCCUCCUGUAUGCACCCUGACUGAGGACCGAACCUGCAACCUCGGUGGCCCCUUCGAUCUUGUCCCUCCAACGCUGACUGCUGGGACACCUGGCAAGGACACUCAGGAGCCAGAGGACUGUCUGGCCCCGAGCACACUGGUGGGUACAAACUGCAGCAUGGAAGGCACCCGUUGGUAAGCUCCCAGUUCCCAAUGCAAAAGGAGAAAUCGGAGGUGGGGUGGUCCCCAGUCCCACCCGCCCCUGGGCUCUGAGCCCAGCCUGGCCCCACAUGUCCUGCCGGGUACCACAGCCUGGCUUCCUCAGGGUGGCACAGGUGUGUCUCUGUCCAGGACGGCCACGGACAGUGCGGCCUCCAGGAGGGACAGCAGUGCCCAGGGCUUGGGGAAGCUGUGCAAGACUCACUUCUAGCUCUGUAGAGCCCCUGGCUCUGGCUGCUGGCCCCUGGAGGUCUGGUUUAAGGGGCAGGAGGUCCUCGGCAGGAUCAGUCCUGCCCACCCAUCGACACCCGGGCACUGAUACUUUCUUCCUCACCCUUCCCUCCUGCCCCACAGAGCGGCCCCUCACCAGUGAGUCAGCUGCAGGGGGGCAGCAGGACUCCUGCCCUUCCAGCGCUCUCCGUCAAGCUGGGGAGUGUCCGGUGGGGAGCGGCUGGG